GAAGCUGGGAGCAGAGUGGUUCUG
rnacentral:piRNA from 1 species